GCUCGUGUAGCUCAGUGGUUAGAGCUUCGUGCUUAUAGAACGCGACCGUCGUGGGUUCGAACCCCACCUCGAGCA
rnacentral:tRNA from 7 species